GACGAACCGAGCGAACGUUGUUCGGAAUAACUGGGCUUAAAGGGCGCGUAGGCGGGCCGCCAAGUUCGAGGUGAAAUCCUCCGGCUCAACCGGAGAACUGCCUCGAAUACUGGAGGCCUCGAGGCGGGUAGGGGCACGCGGAACUGUGGGUGUAGCGGUGAAAUGCGUAGAUAUCGUAAGGAAGACCAGUGGCGAAGGCGGGUCUCUGGACAGUUCCUGACGCUGAAGCACGAAGGCCAGGGGAGCAAACGGG
rnacentral:rRNA from 1 species